rnacentral:rRNA from 1 species
AUACGUAGGGGGCAAGCGUUAUCCGGAAUUACUGGGUGUAAAGGGAGCGCAGACGGCUAAGCAAGUCUGAUGUGAAAGUCAUGGGCUCAACCCAUGGAUUGCAUUGGAAACUGCGAAGCUGGAGUGUCGGAGGGGUAAGCGGAAUUCCUGGUGUAGCGGUGAAAUGCGUAGAUAUCAGGAGGAACACCGGUGGCGAAGGCGGCUUACUGGACGAUCACUGACGUUGAGGCUCGAAAGCGUGGGGAGCAAACAGGAUUAGAUACCCUGGUAGUCCACGCGGUAAACGAUGAAUACUAGGUGUCGGGGGGCGAAGCUCUUCGGUGCCGAAAGCAAACGCAGUAAGUAUUCCACCUGGGGAGUACGUUCGCAAGAAUGAAACUCAAAUGAAUUGGCGGGG